CCUACGGGGAGCAGCAGUGGGGGAUAUUGCACAAUGGGGGAAACCCUGAUGCAGCGACGCCGCGUGGGCGAAGAAGUAUUUCGGUAUGUAAAGCCCUGUCAGCAGGGAAGAAAAUGACGGUACCUGAGUAAGAAGCCCCGGCUAACUACGUGCCAGCAGCCGCGGUAAUACGUAGGGGGCAAGCGUUAUCCGGAUUUACUGGGUGUAAAGGGGGCGCAGACGGCAGCGCAAGCCAGGAGUGAAAGCCCGGGGCCCAACCCCCGGACUGCUCUGGAAACUGUACGGCUGGAGUGCAGGAGAGGUAAGUGGAAUUCCUAGUGUAGCGGUGAAAUGCGUAGAUAUUAGGAGGAACACCAGUGGCGAAGGCGGCUUACUGGACUGUAACUGACGUUGAGGCUCGAAAGCGUGGGGAGCAAACAGGAUUAGAUACCCGGGUAGUC
rnacentral:rRNA from 1 species